GACGAACGCUGGCGGCGUGCUUAACACAUGCAAGUCGAGCGGUAAGGCCCUUUCGGGGGUACACGAGCGGCGAACGGGUGAGUAACACGUGGGUGACCUGCCCUUAGCUCUGGGAUAAGCCUGGGAAACUGGGUCUAAUACCGGAUAUGACUCCAUAACGCAUGUUGUGGGGUGGAAAGCCUUGUGCGGCUAGGGAUGGGCCCGCGGCCUAUCAGCUUGUUGGUGGGGUGAUGGCCUACCAAGGCGACGACGGGUAGCCGGCCUGAGAGGGCGACCGGCCACACUGGGACUGAGACACGGCCCAGACUCCUACGGGAGGCAGCAGUGGGGGAUCUUGCGCUAAUGCGCGAAAGCGUGACGCAGCGACGCCGCGUGGGGAGUGAAGGCCCUCGGGUUGUAAACCUCUUUCAGCUCCGACGAAGCGUAAGUGACGGUAGGAGCAGAAGAAGCACCGG
rnacentral:rRNA from 1 species